rnacentral:rRNA from 1 species
CACGCAGGCGGUUUUGCAAGUCCGAUGUUAAAGACCUGGGCUCAACUCAGGGGAUGCGUUGGAAACUGCAAGACUAGAGUAUUAGAGGGGGAGUCGGAAUUCCUAGUGUAGGGGUGAAAUCUGUUGAUAUUAGGAAGAACACCGGUGGCGAAGGCGGACUCCUGGCUGGAUACUGACGCUGAGGUGCGAAAGCAUAGGGAGCAAACAGGAUUAGAUACCCUGGUAGUCUAUGCCUGUAAACGAUGUGCACUUGGUGUUGGGCCGAUUAGGUUCAGUGCCGUAGCUAACGCGAUAAGUGCACCGCCUGGGAGUAUGCCCGCAAGGGUGAA